rnacentral:tRNA from 1 species
GCCCCAGUAGCUCAGCUGGAUAGAGCAACAGCCUUCUAAUCUGUAGCGCGCAGGUUCGAGUCCUGCCUGGGGCG